ensembl:snRNA U6 U6 spliceosomal RNA
GUGCUCACUUCAGCAGCACAUAUACUAAAAUUGGCACAUUGCAGAGAAGAUUAGCAUGGCCCCUGAGCUAGGAUGACUGCAAAUUCAUGAAGUGUUCCCUUGAAAA